UACGAAGGGGGCGAGCGUUAUUCGGAAUCACUGGGCGUAAAGCGUGCGUAGGCUGCUUGGAAAGUUGGAAGUGAAAGCCCAGGGCUCAACCCUGGAAUUGCUUUCAAAACUACCAGGCUCGGAUUCGGGAGAGGAUAGCGGAAUUGUCAGUGUAGCAGUGAAAUGCGUAGAUAUUGACAGGAACACCAGUGGCGCAAGCGGCUAUCUGGACCGACAUCGACGCUGAGGCACGAAAGCGUGGGGAUCAAACAGG
rnacentral:rRNA from 1 species